rnacentral:lncRNA from 1 species
AAUAGAAUUAGAUUAUAGAGACACUUUUGCGUAAGUAUCCUAUUUAUGCCAAAACUUUUUUAAAAAAUCUGAUAAGUCCUAAAUAUAAAGCUCAAUCUAAUCAAAAAUAAAAAGUUUCUCUACUCAACCAACCCCACCCAGCCCACUCAGCCUAAUUACAAAUAAAAAAGGAAAAAAAAAUGAUCACCAUCUCCUCUUCCCCUCCUCCGCUGCUGCAGCCGACGAGAUAGGGUUCCGGCGGCUGGAGUUCGGCCGCAAGGAUCUCGUAGGGACUGUAGAGGGUUACGAUCGCCACGUGUCCCUCCGUCAUAGGUCGCUGGAGGGCUGAGUGUCAAACAUCAAGGCGGCCCUACAUAUAGCGAUCUCACAUAUAGCAACACUUUUAAAAAGUAUUGGUAAUUUAGCCAGCAUCACUUUUUUUGACCUAUAUCGAUAUUUAAAAGUGUCGCUAUACAUACACCGUUUUUGUUGUAAUUAGCACCCAA